rnacentral:tRNA from 2 species
GCGACAAUAGUUCAAGGGUAGAAUUCGAGCUUCCCAUGCUCGAGGUCUGGGUUCGAGUCCCAGUUGUCGCA